rnacentral:rRNA from 1 species
AGAGUUUGAUCAUGGCUCAGGAUGAACGCUGGCGGCGUGCCUAAUACAUGCAAGUCGAACGUGCGGAAGAUUUCGGUUUUCCAAAAGUGGCGCACGGGUGAGUAACGCGUAGCUGACCUGCCCCUCGCUGGGGGAUAACACGCCGAAAGGCGUGCUAAUACCGCGUACGCUCACGGGGAUUUAGAAGCCUGUGAGGAAAGCGUUUGUAGCGGCGAGGGAGGGGGCUGCGUACCAUCAGCUCGUUGGUGAGGUAAUGGCUCACCAAGGCAACGACGGUUCGGGGACCUGAGAGGGUGACCCCCCACACUGGCACUGAGAUACGGGCCAGACUCCUACGGGAGGCAGCAGUAAGGAAUAUUGCACAAUGGGCGCAAGCCUGAUGCAGCAACGCCGCGUGUAGGAUGAAGGCUUUCGGGUUGUAAACUACUUUUGUGAGGGACGAGCAAGGACGGUACCUCACGAAUAAGUCUCGGCUAACUACGUGCCAGCAGCCGCGGUA